rnacentral:rRNA from 1 species
CAGCAGCCGCGGGAAAACGUAGGGUGCAAGCGUUAAUCGGAAUUACUGGGCGUAAAGCGUGCGCAGGCGGUUAUAUAAGACAGAUGUGAAAUCCCCGGGCUCAACCUGGGAACUGCAUUUGUGACUGUAUAGCUAGAGUACGGCAGAGGGGGAUGGAAUUCCGCGUGUAGCAGUGAAAUGCGUAGAUAUGCGGAGGAACACCGAUGGCGAAGGCAAUCCCCUGGGCCUGUACUGACGCUCAUGCACGAAAGCGUGGGGAGCAAACAGGAUUAGAGACCCCAGUAGUCCCUGUCUCUUAUAC